rfam:Gossypium raimondii Chr05_contig_853, whole genome shotgun sequence.
AAUCCGUGAUGUGGGCACUUAGAAUUAUCUUGAAACGUUCCCACGCCUCAUAAAUGGAUUCACCUUCAUAUUUUUUAAAAGUGGUGAUUUCUCGCCUAAGCU